rnacentral:lncRNA from 1 species
CAUGUUGGAGCGGGAACUCCUGAAAUCAGCCAACAGAAGACUCGGGAGAAGCACUAUGGGAGCAUGGGCCAUGCUGUAUGGAGUCUCGCUGAUUUGUGUGCUGGACCUAGGUCAGCAGAGCAUUGCUGAGGAGCCUAGCUGCGGUCCUGGCAGGGUCCGGAAUGGAACUGGCACGAACACACGCUGCUGCAGUCUGUGUGGUCCAGACAAGGAGGACUGUCCAAAAGGAAGGUGCAUAUGUGUCAAGCCUGAGUACCACUGUGAAGACCCUCAGUGCAAGACCUGCAAACACUACCCCUGCCAACCAGGCCAGAGGGUGGAGUCUCAAGGGAAUAUUAAGUUUGGCUUCCAGUGCGUUGACUGUGCCAUGGGUACCUUCUCUGCAGGUCGUGAGGGUCACUGCAGACUUUGGACCAAGUAAGUCCUGGAUGAGUAGCCUAGGUCCAUUCUGAGCGAGCCUCUCCUAUCCCACCUUUGUAGUGAACACCAAAGAACCCCAAUUCAUCUCCCAGAUGGCUCAGAGGACAGCCAUCCUCCUAGUGUGGCUGCUUUGGUAACCGAUCCUGACAGUGUCUGUGUCUAUGUCCCAGCUGUUCUCAGUUUGGAUUUCUCACCGUGUUCCCCGGGAACAAGACCCACAAUGCUGUGUGCAUCCCGGAGCCACUGCCCACUGAGCAAUAUGGCCAUUUGACUGUCAUCUUCCUGGUCAUGGCUGCAUGCAUUCUCUUCUUAACCACAGUCCAGCUCGGCCUGCACAUAUGGCAGCUGAGGAGGCAACACACGUGUCCCCGAGAUACCCAGCCGCUCCUGGAGGUGCAGUUACCACCAGCUGAGGAUGCUUGCAGCUUCCAGUUUCCUGAGGAGGAACGUGGGGAGCAGAUGGAAGAAAAGUGUCGUCUGGGGGACCGGUGGCCAUGAGGCCUGUUCUUCCUCUGUGCCCCAAGUCAGACUCUACAAGACUUGCCCAGAAAUACCCUUGGUGAGAGCAGGGGCUAUGCUCUGCGUCCUUCCCUGGGCCUGGCCCCACUCCCCUGGACAAUGGCGGAAGUGGGUGUGAGACGGUAGUGGUGAGUUACAACUGAGCCCUGUGGCUGCCUUUCUCAUUUGCCAGCUCUGUGGAGCAGGGUCUUUGGGCCCUCCAAGAACACCAAGUUUAGCACAAGAUCUUAUACAAGUGGUUUUCAAUAAAUACUUGUCUAGUAA